rnacentral:rRNA from 1 species
GACGAACGCUGGCGGCGUGCUUAACACAUGCAAGUCGAACGCAGUGGGGACGGGUGAGUAACACGUGGGUAACCUCCCAUCAGAGGGGAUAACACUUGGAAACAGGUGCUAAACCGAUACUGAUGGAUGGACCCGCGGUGCAUUAGCUAGUUGGUGGGGUAACGGCUCACCUAGGCGACGAGCCCUAGCUGAUCUGGGAGGAUGAACUGCCACACUGGAACUGAGACACGGCCCAGACUCCUACGGGAGGCAGCAGUGGGGAAUCUUGCACAAUGGGCGAAAGUCUGAUGCAGCAAUGCCGCGUGUAUGAAGAAGGUUUUCGGGUCGUAAAUUACUGUUAGCGGGGAGGCGUUACUCGCACAAGAAGCACGGGCUAACUCCGUGCCAGCAGCCGCGGUAAUUC